CCUCCAAAUGUCACAAUUUCUAGUAAUUACAGUCAUGCACAAACAAUAGAAAAAGCACAACAAUGGGUCUGAUUUGAAACAUUAACUUUCAAAAAUGCUCACAAAUGAAUGAUUUCAUCUAUAAUCAACUUCUAUUUUAUUUUUUUCUCCUAGAGAUAGAAAAUAGAUAAUUACUGAGAAAAGAAUUGGGGAAACUUUCCACACACAUAAUUUGUGUCUGGAAACAUAGAAACAAACAUUCUUUGGAAUGUACAAAAUGAUUCCACAUACAAUCUGUUAUCCUUGUAGAAAACCUUCUAAAAUGGAUUUGGUGCAAGAAAUCUGAGUGGAAAAACAGCUGUGGUUUCAGGCAUGUCAAACCUGAAAUAUGCAUGUAUGCAUGUGUGGGUGUAUGUGUAUGCUCCCCAUAAUAGGACCCUGUUCUCCUCACUCUCUAUGUAACCCACGCAUAAGUGGGCAUGAAAUGAUUAAAUAACAAAACCCCAAGCUGCGGUACCCAAGGAGAAUAUCUGAUAGAGCAACAUUAAAAAGUAGCAUAGAGUCAGCGACUGCUAUGCAGUGGGAAGACUUGGUAACUAUAGCAACUUGCUUUAGAAGUUGUUCUUUCCCUGCCAAAAAUCAGGUAAGCCUUGUCAGCACUCCCACUGACACACCACAGGGAGACAGAAGCUAUUCAAGAGAGGCAGCAGGCCAGCCACACAAAGGGCACAUGAAGGAAAGUAAACCUUCUUAAGUUUCUGCACUACAUGGGUCUAUGGGGGAGCAAAUUAUGAACAAGAACGAGUAGUACAACUGAAGAAGGCUGAACAUAGAGGAUUUUUGAACUCUUGAAACAGAAUGACAAUUAUGUGUAAUGACUACAUCAGCCCAGUUGUGACCAUUCUAAUAUAAACUGGCAUGGAGCACAGGAAAAGAUCAGCACACAAUCAGGAACCAGGAUGAGUUAUUAAUAGGACCCAGACAGGGUACGGGUAUUUCCUUCAGGCUCCUAGAAAAGGCUUCACCAAGUCCACAGAAAGGAGGACCGGAGUUAACACUAGUUACCCACCAUAUAUAGUUAGAUUUUGUAGUUGGCAGCAAUUUUUUUUUUAAGUUUAACUUAGUAAACUGCAUAGUUGAUCCCAUAGAAGAAUCUCAGUUCUUCUCAUCGAAUGCUUUAUAUUAAAAAUCCUGGAGCAAAUACAAUUAGAGGAACGUUGCUAUGCCAGGUGAACCUCAGUGACCUUCGGCAAUCCAGUCUCUGAAGUUGGCAGAAGGUGGACUCUGGAGAAUGGUCGUCUCC
rnacentral:lncRNA from 10 species